rnacentral:rRNA from 1 species
UACGUAGGGGGCCAGCGUUGCUCGGAAUUACUGGGUGUAAAGGGUUCGUAGGCGGUGCGGCAAGUUGGGAGUGAAAUCUUUGGGCUCAACCCAGAGGCUGCUUUCAAAACUGCUGUGCUUGAGUGUGGGAGAGGCGCGUGGAAUUGCAGGUGUAGCGGUGAAAUGCGUAGAUAUCUGCAGGAACACCCGUGGCGAAAGCGGCGCGCUGGACCACAACUGACGCUGAGGAACGAAAGCUAGGGGAGCAAACAGGAUUAGAUACCCUGGUAGUCCUAGCCCUAAACGAUCAGGACUUGGGGUGGCUCACGUUCGUGAGUCGUCCCGGAGCUAACGCGUUAAGUCCUGCACCUGGGGAGUACGGUCGCAAGACUGAA